rnacentral:misc_RNA from 1 species
UGAAGUAAAGUCGUAACAAGGUUCCGUAGGUGAACUGCGAAGAUCAUAAUAAUUUUUUUGAAAUAAAAAAAUAAUAUCAUCCUACCUUUGUGAAUUUGUUUGUUGAAUAUUUUUAAAUUAUUAUUGUCUAUCCAAGUUGGAAGUUGUAAAGACUUGAAGAUUGGAGCGGCAUAAAUAAUUUAAAGACUUUUCUAAAUUAAACUUUUGUAUUCAUUGUCUAAAAUAAUUUUAUAAUAUAUAAAAAACUUUGACAUGGAUCUCUUGUUCGCAACGAUGAAGAACGCAGCAAAUGCGAUAAGUAAUGUGAAUUGCAGAUACGUGAUCAUCGAAUUUCGAACGCAUAUGCACUUUUUAGUUUACUAAAAAGUAUGUCUGUUUGAGUAUCAGUAAAUAUUCUCAUAAAAUUUUUAAUUUUAUGGUUAUGAGUGUUUACAACGAUAACAAGUUGUUUCACUUUAAAUUGAAUUUUUGAAGAAAUUCUUUAAUUCAAAUUAAAUUUGGAUAAAAUUUCCCGUAAAAGGAAUAACUAUACAGUUAAUAAGAUUAGUGAUUUCUUUAUGAAAGGAAAUUAUUAAAUAACUUGAUCUCAAAUCAGAUAAAGUACCGCUGAACUUAAGCAUAUCAAUAGCGAGGAAAAGAACUAACAAGGAUUCCCUAGUAACGGCGAGUGAAGCGGAAGAGCUCAAUUGAAAUCUUAAAGGGUUCCUUUACGAUUGUAGUUUAAAGAAGUGUUUUCUGUUGAGUUUGGUAAAGUCUUUGGAUAGGACAUCAUAGAGGUGAGAUCCGUAUUGACCUUACUUCAACUUUGAUACACUUCAAAGGUCGAUUGUUUGGAAUGCAUCCAAAUGGUGGUAAUUUCAUCUAAAGCUAAUAUUGGCGAAGCGAUAGCGACAAGUACGUGAGGAAGAUGAAAAGAACUUGAAAGAGAGUUAAACAGUACGUGAAUGUCAAAGGAAGCGUUGACACAGUGUGUUUUCUGAAAUCAAUUAAGAACUGUUUAUGCUAAGUUGUUAGACUUUAUCAGCUAACUGUUUAGUUUUGAGCUUUCUUUAAUGCACUUUUCAGUUAACAAGUCAACAUCAAUUCUUUUGCUGUAAAAAGCUUGAGAAGUGCUGAGAUUCGUCUAAGUGUUUAUAGCCUCUGCCUAUGCAGUCGGAGAGAUUGAGGUCUGCAGCGUAGAUCUUCGGGCUAAAUGCAUUUGUGCUAAGUAUAGCAUUUAUAGACAACUUGUUGACAUGAUUGUCUGUAGCUUACUCGCUUAUGUUAUUUACUACGCUUAGGAUGUUGA